CGGGGAGUAACUCAGCCCGGUAGAGUGCCAGCUUUGGGAGCUGGAGGCCGCAGGUUCAAAUCCUGUCUCCCCGA
rnacentral:tRNA from 1 species